GGGGGACCUUCGGGCCUCUUGCCAUCGGAUGUGCCCAGAUGGGAUUAGCUAGUAGGUGGGGUAACGGCUCACCUAGGCGACGAUCCCUAGCUGGUCUGAGAGGAUGACCAGCCACACUGGAACUGAGACACGGUCCAGACUCCUACGGGAGGCAGCAGUGGGGAAUAUUGCACAAUGGGCGCAAGCCUGAUGCAGCCAUGCCGCGUGUAUGAAGAAGGCCUUCGGGUUGUAAAGUACUUUCAGCGGGGAGGAAGGGAGUAAAGUUAAUACCUUUGCUCAUUGACGUUACCCGCAGAAGAAGCUCCGGCUACCUCCGCCCAGCAGC
rnacentral:rRNA from 1 species